rnacentral:pre_miRNA from 1 species
ACCGUGGCUUUAGAUUGUUACUGUAGUUCUGCAUUGGUAACAGUCUACAGCCAUGGUCG